GGUGCAUGGUAUUUUAAUAUGAGCGUGCUUUGGACCAAAAGGACCUCGCUGGUGCAUUAUAGCAAACACUAGUAUAUAUUGAUGUUUCUGUACCUCGCCCUCUCUCUCCUCUACCCCUUUUCCUCUAACCUUUAGCUUUCCUCCCUCCCUCCUCUCUUUCUCUCCUCUAACAAGAACUUAGUCCCGGCAGUUCAGAUCCUAAGUUGCUGACCUUGCUGCUGAUUGUUGGAGAUAGAUUUGCUGCUUCUAAGUUGGAAAUACCAUGAGUCCACCGAGUGUGAUGGGGCAGUUUGGGGACACGACCUACACCAAGGUUUUUGUUGGGGGACUCGCGUGGGAAACCCAGAAGGAGACUAUGAGGAAGUAUUUCGAGCAGUUUGGAGAGAUCCUGGAGGCUGUUGUCAUCACUGACAAGAACACUGGCAGAUCCAAGGGCUACGGAUUUGUUACCUUCCGGGACUCGGAUGCGGCAAUGAGAGCUUGCGUUGAUCCUGCACCGGUGAUUGAUGGGAGGAGGGCUAACUGUAAUCUUGCUUCCCUUGGGGUUCAAAGAUCUAGGCCUCCUACUCCCCAGCAUGGAGGGGCUAGGAACUUUAAAGUGAUGAAAUCUUUCAGCCAGCAGGCAGGAAUCCAAGGUGGACUGGGCGCAGCUUUUCCUUCUCAUGCCACCUUCCCUCAUUAUGCCAUCCCACAAGGCCUCCCCUACCAUAUCUAUGGGUACUCUCCAUAUACCCUAGACUACGGUUAUCCAACACCGCGGAACCAUCUGCCCUGUUUCAACCACGGAGGUGGGCACAUAACCAUGCAGCACCAUGGAUUGAACCCUGAUGGGGAGCUCCGCACUGGCGUGCUCAACCACUGUGCUAUCAGAUAUCAGUGUCUGCACCAUAGCAAGUAGUAGAUAAUACUACGAUUUCUAAAACAUCAGAUACUUACCAAUGAAAGGAGUGGUAGUUAACAGAGUUUUUUUUUAUCAUGAGCAUAAUAUAAAACAUAAAUACUUAUUGGAUUCCCUUGUCUGUUAAAUAGAACUUUUAUAAUAUAUAUGGAGGACCUCAGUACACAUUUUAUGGAGGAGGAGCUGGCAUGGUGACAGGAACAAGUCCCUUUUAUCCAUAUUUCCAGUUUGGGCAAUCAGGAAACACUACUACCAACUAUACAAGUGGACAAGGCUACAACUUGCAAUACCCACAAAUGUUCCACUUCUCAACUGUAUCAUCUACAGCUGCAGCUGUGAACGGCUUUGCUCAGCAGUAUGGAGGACCAUUGUCACUAGCAGCAAGUCCUCAAGCCCAAGCAGUGUGUAUCCCCAUUAAACAGGCAUGACUAUGGCACUCGCAGCUCCAACCAUGCCAACUCCAACACAGGCUGCUCAUCCUUACCGGUUGAUUCCCUCAGUGUCCACUGCUCCAGAGCAACCCUUGGCCUAACCAUGGUCUCCCUUCUCGUCAUUGCUGUACUGUCUCGUUUCCAACUUGUCGAGUCCAUGCAUCCAUCUCUAACACCAAAAGGCACUAUUGUAGAUCAUGUUUAUCAGCCAAAGUGCUCACAUCCAUAUCCCACAUGGUCAUGUGGUAACUGGAUAUUAGCUUUAGCCCCAGGAUGGGCACAAAGCUUCAUGCCCCGAGGAUGGGGCGUUCUAACAGACAAGUACAAACCCUAACCAUUCUAAAUAUAGUCCAAGGAAGGACUUUAUCUGGGAGAGUUAAUUUCAGCUGUAGCGAGACAAGGCUGUAACUAAAAGAUACUAACAGUCAAGCAUGACCCAAGGAGGGUUCAUGCUGAUACUAGUCAAAUUGGACUACAAUGACAGCUAAAUAACUGAACUAGCAUGCCACUCCCACAUUUCAUCGGUAGAAUCCCAACUGUACCUAGCUUAGGCCUGACAUUUCUUGUUGAAGCAUAAACCAUUUAGGCAAACCUACCCUUCUAUAGUCCUGCUGUUACGGUGUUACCUAGACCAAAUGCAUAUGAUAUAUGACCAGCGACUAGUGUAACCAACUCAUCUUUUCUUUGCAAAAGAUUAGAUGCACCAACUAACAAUUUAUUUGAUCUUUCAGUUGAUAGCUUGCAUCUAGGUGGUCAAGGCUCUAAGGAGAGCCUGUGCCCCUAAUCAGAAACAGGUUCAGAGUAGUGCCAAUGUUUGUUUUUAGCACUUGGCACUACCCCCUGUCCCUCGAAACACAGCAUUGGGGACUCCAAAGAAGGCUUUGGAGUAACCAAGCACUGCUGUGUAACUCAUUAACACAAUGGACCCAUAGAUGAAUUUUUGUUGUCUUGGGUCACCCCACUCAUGUAGAUGUCAUUACUUCUCAGUGUCACUACCAUGGUUAGGUCCAGGCCCCCCUUCACUCCCUCCCUCUCUCUCUGCACAGGGCAGAGACCUUAGCACUCUUUAAUCUACUAUUACCAGGCAUGGUGGUUGUAAUAAUAAAUUAGCGCUAUGCUACUUGUAGGACACGAAGAACUCUGUUAUUCCACCCUUCAUAUGUACUUAAUAUCCUGUCCAUUUCAGUUCAGUAGUUGGUACUUAUUUCCAAAUUCCAACCAUUGUAGUGCACCAUAUAAUGUUGUGUAAUAUAUGUCCACUGUGCUGCACAUUUCUUAAUCAUCUGUCGUUCAGUUGCA